rnacentral:rRNA from 1 species
GAGUUUGAUCCUGGCUCAGGACGAACGCUGGCGGCGUGCCUAACACAUGCAAGUCUGGGAGAAUUGGGUAGCAAUAUCCAUAGUAAACCGGCGCACGGGUGAGUAAUAUAUAGGUAACAUCCCCUUUGACUUGGAAUAACCCCGCGAAAGCGGGGCUAAUACCGAAUGAUGCAGCGGAUCCGCAUGGAUAUGUUGUUAAAGCUUCGGCAUCAAAGGAUUGACCUGUAUCCCAUUAGAUAGUUGGCGAGGUAACGGCUCACCAAGUCUGCGAUGGGUAGCUGAUCUGAGAGGAUGAUCAGCCACACUGGAACUGAGACACGGUCCAGACUCCUACGGGAGGCAGCAGUGAGGAAUAUUGCGCAAUGGAGGAAACUCUGACGCAGCGACGCCGCGUGAAGGAUGAAGGCCCUCUGGGUUGUAAACUUCUGUAGAGUGGGAAGAAUUUCCGCCUCUGGCGGAUUGACGGUACCACUAAAGUAAGGGUCGGCUAACUACGUGCCAGCAGCCGCGGUAAUACGUAGGACCCGAGCGUUGUCCGGAAUCACUGGGUGUAAAGGGAGCGCAGGCGGACUUUCAAGUCGAUGGUGAAAUCUUGUGGCUCAACCACAAAACUGCCGUCGAUACUGCUUGUC